UCGGCAGCGGUUCGAUUCCCCUCAACUAUUAGUAAAUUUUCUCUCUGAACUUCAUCUUCUUCCUCUGCUUCGUCCAGUUCUUUGCUCCGCCCCCUCCCCGGCAGAUUCAUCGACCGCGUAGUCGUGGUUCUGGGAGCAGUGGAAGGUGUCUCGUAGGAGUCAGUCAGAAAAUGGAUCAAGAGGACGACGAUUUUGAGAUGCCAUCUAGGACAUCCCCUCAUCUCCGAUUCAGGAGCACAUGAAAGAAGAAACAUGAGGACAUGGUUAAUCACACUGGAACAGAGAAGAGGCCAGUGAAGAGAAGGAAAGGCAUGUCCAACAAGUUCCAUAACCAGGAUGCAAAGUUGAAGCAGAAUAUCGGAUUCAAAUGUUCUCUCAUCUUUUGUUCGAUCUCCUGAAGACCCUAGACAGAGAUCAGAGGAACUGGGUUGAUGAACUCGGUUUCGGUAUUCUAUUAUCCAUGCCAAAUUGUAGGCUUCCUAAAGAUCUGACAGUGUGGUUAGUGAACCAUUUCAGUUGGAAGAAGCAAGCUCUGACUGUACGUGGUCGAUCAGUCCCAAUUAGACAGCUUAUGAAGAAGCUGUUAGGUAUACCUGAUGGCCCUUUUCCUGUACCUUUGCCCUGUAGCAAGCGUGGAAAAUCAAAGUGCAUUUACCCCACCGAUGAGGACAAGGAGAUGAAGGAUGAGAAAGGUGCAAGGGGUUUGAGUUAUAAGGCAACAUACGAGUCACUAAUAGCUACUCAUGACCCUGUACAAUUUAAAAGAUCCUUUAUGUUGUACGUGCUCUGUAUUUACUUUGCUCCAUCUAGUGGCCACUUUAUUAACCUUGGCUACUCACCCAUCGUGAGCAACGUUGACCUCAUCAAAGAUAUGAACUGGUGCGACCAUGUAGCUGAUGUUCUCAUCGAAGGAAUUCGGGAAUAUCGAGACUCGAAGGCAGUUAAUAUCAAUGUCCACGGAUGUGUACAUGUUCUGCUGCUCAUUUAUAUUGAUAUGGUUAAGUCUCCAAUAUUGGAAGUUCCUGGAGGAUACCCCCUGUACUAUAUGUAACUACUGAGUUGCUAGACUUGUUAGAUUUGUCUGAUUUGAAGUCCAGCUCAACUGAUGGUCCAGAGUAUGGCAAGCUACAGGUGCUUUUUUUCGUUCCAUCAUAUUCUACUUUCUCAUCGAACCUUCUGCUUUCGGAAACAUUGGAAACGAAAUUGAUUCGUAUAUUUUCUGUAAAUUUAUGCAACAUUCGUGCAACAAUGAAAUGAAUCUGAAACCAAUAUUGUAUUUUUCAU